rnacentral:rRNA from 1 species
UACGAAGGGGGCUAGCGUUGCUCGGAAUCACUGGGCGUAAAGCGCACGUAGGCGGCUUUUUAAGUCAGGGGUGAAAUCCUGGAGCUCAACUCCAGAACUGCCUUUGAUACUGGGAAGCUUGAGUCCGGGAGAGGUGAGUGGAACUCCGAGUGUAGAGGUGAAAUUCGUAGAUAUUCGCAAGAACACCAGUGGCGAAGGCGGCUCACUGGCCCGGUACUGACGCUGAGAUGCGAAAGCGUGGGGAGCAAACAGG